GGCCCUGUGGCGCAGUUGGUUAGCGUGCCGCCCUGUCACGGCGGAGGUCGCGGGUUCAAGUCCCGUCAGGGUCGC
rnacentral:tRNA from 9 species